GACUUUGUAGCUCAGGGGUUAGAGCACCGGUCUCGUAAACCAGGGGUCGAGAGUUUGAUUCUCUCCGAGAGCA
rnacentral:tRNA from 1 species